GAUGAACGCUGGCGGCGUGCCUCAAACAUGCAAGUCGAGCGGGGCUAUGUAAUAUCGCAAGGUAGAACAUAGCCUAGCGGCGAACGGGUGAGUAACACGUGGGUAACCUGCCUGGAAGACAGGGAUAACGAUUCGAAAGGGUCGCUAAUACCUGAUAAUAUCCUUUCAUCGCAUGGUGAUAGGAAGAAAGGGGAAACCCGCUUUCAGAUGGGCCCGCGUCUCAUCAGCUAGUUGGUAAGGUAAAGGCUUACCAAGGCGACGACGGGUAGCCGGUCUGAGAGGAUGUACGGCCACACUGGGACUGAGAUACGGCCCAGACUCCUACGGGAGGCAGCAGUUGGGAAUCUUAGGCAAUGGACGAAAGUCUGACCUAGCGACGCCGCGUGAGGGAAGAAGGCCUUCGGGUUGUAAACUCCUGGACUGGGGGACGAGGAAGGACGGUACCCCGAGUAGAAGGGACGGCUAACUACGUGCCAGCAGCCGCGGUAAAGUACGUCUAU
rnacentral:rRNA from 1 species